GAUAUACUCCCUCCGUUCCGAAUUACUUGUCUUGAAUUUGUCUAGAUACGGAUGUAUCUAGACUCAUUUUAGUGCUAGAUAUUCUGUAUCUAGACAAAUCCAAGACAAGUAAUUCAGAACGGAGGGAGUACCUU
rfam:Triticum aestivum genome assembly, contig: Triticum_aestivum_CS42_TGACv1_scaffold_146527_2BS